rnacentral:rRNA from 1 species
GCAUGUCGACCGAAGCACUUGUUCUUAGUGGCGAAUGGGUGAGUAACACGUACUUAAUCUGCCCUCAAGUCUGGGACAACAGUUGGAAACGACUGCUAAUACCGGAUACGUAAUAACCUCGCAUGGGGAUAUUAUAAAAGGAGCGUUUGCUUCGCUAGAGGAUGAGAGUGCGCCAUAUUAGCUAGUUGGUAGGGUAAAGGACGACCAAGGCGAUGGUAUGUAGCGGGGUCGAGAGGAUGAGC